UUCGGAGGGUGCGAGCGUUGUCCGGAAUCACUGGGCGUAAAGGGCGCGUAGGCGGCAUGCCAAGCGUGUGGUGAAAGCCCGGGGCUCAACCCCGGGUCGGCCGUGCGGACUGGCGUGCUCGAGCACUGUAGGGGCGGGUGGAAUUCCGGGUGUAGCGGUGGAAUGCGUAGAGAUCUGGAAGAACACCGGUGGCGAAGGCGGCCCGCUGGGCAGGAAGGCUCGCAAGAGCCGGCUGACGCUGAGGCGCGACAGCGUGGGGAGCAAACAGG
rnacentral:rRNA from 1 species